AGUGAACGCUGGCGGUAGGCCUAACACAUGCAAGUCGAACGGCAGCACAGUAAGAGCUUGCCUUUACGGGUGGCGAGUGGCGGACGGGUGAGGAAUACAUCGGAAUCUACUUUUUCGGGGGGGAUAACGUAGGGAAACUUACGCUAAUACCGCAUAUGACCUACGGGUGAAAGCAGGGGAUAUUCGGACCUUGCGCGAUUGAAUGAGCCGAUGUCGGAUUAGCUAGUUGGCGGGGUAAAGGCCCACCAAGGCGACGAUCCGUAGCUGGUCUGAGAGGAUGAUCAGCCACACUGGAACUGAGACACGGUCCAGACUCCUACGGGAGGCAGCAGUGGGGAAUAUUGGACAAUGGGCGCAAGCCUGAUCCAGCCAUACCGCGUGGGUGAAGAAGGCCUUCGGGUUGUAAAGCCCUUUUGUUGGGAAAGAAAAGCAGCAGGUUAAUACCCCGCUGUUCUGACGGUACCCAAAGAAUAAGCACCGGCUAACUUCGUG
rnacentral:rRNA from 1 species